CACGUAGGGCGCGAGCGUUGUCCGGAAUUAUUGGGCGUAAAGAGCUCGUAGGCGGCCUGUUGCGUCCGCUGUGAAAGCCCGGGGCUUAACCCCGGGUCUGCAGUGGAUACGGGCAGGCUAGAGGUAGGUAGGGGAGAAUGGAAUUCCCGGUGUAGCGGUGAAAUGCGCAGAUAUCAGGAGGAACACCGGUGGCGAAGGCGGGUCUCUGGGCCGAUACUGACGCUGAGGAGCGAAAGCAUGGGUAGCGAACAGG
rnacentral:rRNA from 1 species